rnacentral:rRNA from 1 species
UGCAGUCGAGCGGUACAGAUCGCUGUGAUCCUUUCGAGGUGAACUUGAUGCUGACGAGCGGCGGACGGGUGAGUAACGCGUAGGAAUCUGCCCAGUAGAGGGGGAUAGCCCGGGGAAACCCGGAUUAAUACCGCAUACGCCCUACGGGGGAAAGGCCGGGAUCUUCGGACCGGUCACUAUUGGAUGAGCCUGCGUUGGAUUAGCUUGUUGGUGGGGUAAAGGCCCACCAAGGCGACGAUCCAUAGCUGGUCUGAGAGGAUGAUCAGCCACACUGGAACUGAGACACGGUCCAGACUCCUACGGGAGGCAGCAGUCGGGAAUAUUGGACAAUGGGGGCAACCCUGAUCCAGCCAUGCCGCGUGUGUGAAGAAGGCCUUCGGGUUGUAAAGCACUUUCAGUAGGGAGGAAGGCUGUAGCGUUAAUAGCGCUGCGGAUUGACGUUACCUACAGAAGCAGCACCGGCUAACUCCGUGCCAGCAGCCGCGGUAAUACGGAGGGUGCAAGCGUUAAUCGGAAUUACUGGGCGUAAAGCGCGCGUAGGCGGUUUGGUCAGUUGGAUGUGAAAGCCCAGGGCUUAACCUUGGAACUGCAUUCAAUACUGCCAGGCUAGAGUACGGUAGAGGGGGGUAGAAUUCCACGUGUAGCGGUGAAAUGCGUAGAGAUGUGGAGGAAUACCAGUGGCGAAGGCGGCCCCCUGGAUCGAUACUGACGCUGAGGUGCGAAAGCGUGGGGAGCAAAUAGGAUUAGAUACCCUGGUAGUCCACGCCGUANACGAUGUCAACUAGCCGUUGGAGAUCUUGUAUCUUUAGUGGCGUAGCUAACGCGCUAAGUUGACCGCCUGGGGAGUACGGUCGCAAGAUUAAAACUCAAAUGAAUUGACGGGGGCCCGCACAAGCGGUGGAGCAUGUGGUUUAAUUCGA